AGCUAAGGGAUAGCCCAGCUGGUAGAGCAUGAGACUCUUAAUCUCAGGGUGGUGGGUUUGAGUCCCAUGUUGGAUA